rnacentral:rRNA from 1 species
CACGUAGGGCGCGAGCGUUGUCCGGAAUUAUUGGGCGUAAAGAGCUCGUAGGCGGCCUGUUGCGUCCGCUGUGAAAGCCCGGGGCUUAACCCCGGGUCGGCAGUGGAUACGGGCAGGCUAGAGGUAGGUAGGGGAGAAUGGAAUUCCCGGUGUAGCGGUGAAAUGCGCAGAUAUCGGGAGGAACACCGGUGGCGAAGGCGGUUCUCUGGGCCUUACCUGACGCUGAGACGCGAAAGCGUGGGGAGCGAACAGG